UUCAGAAAAACAAACAGAUGGACGCACAUGUGAUUUUUGCAUUGGAAAAUACAGGACAAAAGAUGUGUCUUCGGGAAUGUACGCAUUAUAAAGGUUGUAGUGGUGUCAAUUACAGACCAGAUACCCUGACUUGCCAACUGUUGUCUGUAUCCUCACCAGCAGACCAACUUAAAUAUAGUGAAGGGUUUUCAUUUGCUUACUUAGACAAUCAUACUGUGGAUGGAGAUAGUUGUCUGCCUACGAAUCCUUGUAAAGAACGUGAAAGGUGUGUUCCAUUGAAUAUGAAUGGACACGUUUGCCUAUCAUAUCGAGCACCAUGCGAUGCGCAGCCUUGUACAAACGGAGGCAUAUGUCGUAACCAGGUGAACAGCUAUUUAUGUACGUGUCCGGAUGAAUGGACUGGUCC